rnacentral:rRNA from 1 species
CGGGGAAUAUUGGACAAUGGGCGAAAGCCUGAUCCAGCCAUGCCGCGUGUGUGAAGAAGGCCUUUUGGUUGUAAAGCACUUUAAGUGGGGAGGAAAAGCUUAUGGUUAAUACCCAUAAGCCCUGACGUUACCCACAGAAUAAGCACCGGCUAACUCUGUGCCAGCAGCCGCGGUAAUACAGAGGGUGCAAGCGUUAAUCGGAAUUACUGGGCGUAAAGCGCGCGUAGGUGGUUAUUUAAGUCAGAUGUGAAAGCCCCGGGCUUAACCUGGGAACUGCAUCUGAUACUGGAUAACUAGAGUAGGUGAGAGGGGAGUAGAAUUCCAGGUGUAGCGGUGAAAUGCGUAGAGAUCUGGAGGAAUACCGAUGGCGAAGGCAGCUCCCUGGCAUCAUACUGACACUGAGGUGCGAAAGCGUGGGUAGCAAACAGGAUUAGAUACCCUGGUAGUCCACGCCGUAAACGAUGUCUACCAGUCGUUGGGUCUUUUAAAGACUUAGUGACGCAGUUAACGCAAUAAGUAGACCGCCUGGGGAGUACGGCCGCAAGGUUA